rfam:Roseburia sp. CAG:309 genomic scaffold, scf361
GGAGACGUAUCGAAGUGGUCAUAACGAGAACGACUCGAAAUCGUUUUGCCUUCACGGGCACGAGGGUUCGAAUCCCUCCGUCUCCG